UGGGGAAUAUUGCACAAUGGAGGGAACUCUGAUGCAGCGACGCCGCGUGAGUGAAGAAGUAAUUCGUUAUGUAAAGCUCUAUCAGCAGGGAAGAAAGUGACGGUACCUGAAAAAGAAGCUCCGGCUAAAUACGUGCCAGCAGCCGCGGUAAUACGUAUGGAGCAAGCGUUAUCCGGAUUUACUGGGUGUAAAGGGAGAGUAGGUGGCAGAGCAAGUCCGAAGUGAAAACCCAAAGCUCAACUAUGGGAAUGCUUUAGAAACUGCUCAGCUAGAGUGCAGGAGAGGCAAGUGGAAUUCUUAGUGUAGCGGUGAAAUGCGUAGAUAUUAGGAGGAACACCAGUGGCGAAGGCGGCUUGCUGGACUGUAACUGACACUGAGGCUCGAAAGCGUGGGGAGCAAA
rnacentral:rRNA from 1 species